rnacentral:rRNA from 1 species
CGUUUCCGUAGGGUGAACCUGCGCAAGGAUCAUUAUCGAGUUUUGACCGGGUUGUAGCUGGCCUUCCGAGGCAUGUGCACGCCCUGCUCAUCCACUCUACACCUGUGCACUUACUGUGGGCUUCAGAUUGCGAGGCACGCUCUUUACCGGGCUUGCGGAGCAUAUCUGUGCCUGCGUUUAUCACAAACUCUAUAAAGUAACAGAAUGUGUAUUGCGAUGUAACACAUCUAUAUACAACUUUCAGCAACGGAUCUCUUGGCUCUCGCAUCGAUGAAGAACGCAGCGAAAUGCGAUAAGUAAUGUGAAUUGCAGAAUUCAGUGAAUCAUCGAAUCUUUGAACGCACCUUGCGCUCCUUGGUAUUCCGAGGAGCAUGCCUGUUUGAGUGUCAUGAAAUCUUCAACCUACAAGCUUUUGUGGUUUGUAGGCUUGGACUUGGAGGCUUGUCGGCCGUUAUCGGUCGGCUCCUCUUAAAUGCAUUAGCUUGGUUCCUUGCGGAUCGGCUCUCGGUGUGAUAAUGUCUACGCCGCGACCGUGAAGCGUUUGGCGAGCUUCUAACCGUCUUAUAAGACAGCUUUAUGACCUCUGACCUCAAAUCAGGUAGGACUACCCGCUGAACUUAAGCAUAUCAAUAAGGCGGAGGAG